rnacentral:rRNA from 1 species
UUGGACAAUGGGGGCAACCCUGAUCCAGCAAUGCCGCGUGACGUGAAGAAGGCNNNNNNUUGUAAAGCUCUUUUGUCAGGGAAGAAACAGCAGCUCUAACACAGUCUGCGAAUGACGGUACCUGAAGAAUAAGCACCG